GGGUCAAUGGUCUAGUGGUAUGAUUCUCGCUUUGGGUUCUCACAGAUCGAAUGCGAGAGGCCGUCGGUUCAAUCCCGGCUUGACCCC